UCCCUACCACUGUGUGUCUGUGGAUAUUGUCGGCUUGCUGGAGCGCCUACAGCAACAGAGUGAAGCAGGCAGCCGGGGCGGGGGCGGGGCGGUGGUUGGGCUUUGCAUCUGUUGACGAAAAGAGUCAAACUGUGUGAAGUAUUUGAAGAGACUUAUUCUGAGUCCAGUAUGAGUGAACAUGGCCCCUGACACAGCCCUCAGAAGGUCCUGAGAACAUGUGCCCAAGGUGGUUGGGGUGCAGCUUGGUUUUGUACAUUUUAAGGAGGUGUGUUGGGGGGGCCUGGGCCAGGCUAUUGGUAGAUUUGACAAUUGGUCGAGUUUGUCCAAAGACCUGGAAUCAACAAAAAGGAAUGCCUGGGUUCAGAAAAGCGGAAGCGGUUGUGGAGACCAAGAUUCUUAUUUACGCAGAUGAAGCCUCCAGGUAGCGGGCUUCAAAGAGACUAGAUUGUAGAUGUUUCUUAUCAGACCUGAAAAGGUGCCAUACUCUUAGUGGAGUCUCUCCUGGCUCAGGGAGAAGACCUGGAAAGGGAGGGGGAUUCACUACAGAACGUAGAUUGUCCCAAGAGACAGCUUUACAGGGCCAUGUCAGAAUGUGUCAAAGAAAUAUAUUUUUGAGUAAAGUACUUCUGUUUCUUUCAGGGCCUGCAAUCUGUCAUGUGAUGCUAUACUAGAGUCAGGUUGAAAUUUGGUGUCUUACUGCUACAAAGUCUGUUUUGUCAGUCUUGGGAUCGCUUUUAAUGUUAAUGCUGGUCAGCUGUGCCUGAAUUCCAUAGGGAGAAGGGCAUAAUGAGGCAAAUUCGACCCCGCAUUUGGCCUGAACUAGUUUUUCAGGUUAACUUAGGAAUGCCCUUGGCCAAGAGCAGGAGUCCAUUCAGUUGGGUUGGGGGCUUAGAAUUUAAUUUUUGGUUUAUACCGUGCUUACUGCUGUUGGCCCACGUGCAUUCGUUCAUUGCCAUGGCCCCACACUCCUUUCCUUCUAGUCUGUGACCCUAGGGCCCCUGUGGUGGGACUGCAAAAAAAAAAAAAAAAAAAAGAUGGGGUGCAGGUCUGCUCACUCAGUUGUUGACAGAGAUUCUGAUAGUCAGGAUCUCUGGGAAUAUAAAGAUGAAACUUCCCCCUCGCCUUCAAGGAUAUCACGGGCCAGAAGGCAAAGUUGUUUUGAAUACGUGGUUCAUUGAGUACCCACCCUGUGCCAAUUGAUGGCUGCAAAGAGAACAGAAGGGGUGGUGCUGCUGUAGGAAAUAAAUGAAUGGCUCGGAAGACCACACUGAGGAAGGUGUGAGUUGAUACUGGAAGAUCUCCAGGUUUGAGGCAUCCUUAGAGGGAUAUGAUGGUUUUGUGUGUGUAGAGGGUGUGGUAGCGCAGCAGCUCCCUGGGGAAUUAGAAGGUUUUUCUUUAUUGACAGUUUACCCUGUGACAGGCACUGCAGGCAUUCAGCGCACCGUGUCUUCUCCAUUUUACAGAAGGCAUCAUGGCCGCCCUCAGACCCCUUGUGAAGCCCAAGAUGGACGAAAAGAGAACCAAGAAGUUCAUCCGGCACCAGUCAGACCGAUAUGUCAAAAUUAAAGUAUAUGGCCCUGGAAUGGAAACAGGUGUGGGGUGAAGAAAGAAGCUUCCAACAGGCUGUCGGUUUCUGACAUCACCUAGUCGGGACUACCUUUGACCGAUGAACUGGUUUGUGGAAGAGCUUUCUGUAGAAAUACAGGUCUCCCCCAGUGUGCCCUAGUGCUGGUACUUAAGUCUCUUGGUGUAUGAAGUGAAAUUUAAAUGAGAAGGGACACUUGGCUGUUUCGAUGUGUUUAGAGGGCUUUGCAUUUGUGUCGUGUAUUUUGGGUUGCCUUAUGACAGCAGGAUCCCUAUUUUAUAGACAGGAAAACUCAGAGGUGCUGAGAGCAGUGUCUGCAGCUGUGCUCGCCAUCUCAGUAUCUACACAGUCCCCUCGCGUCCCAUUGGUGUCUGUCUCCAUUUCUUGGGAGUGAGAAUGGCAGGGGUGCCUGCAUUCCUAAUGGCUAAAGCCAAGAGCUCCUGGUUUUUGCCACCAAAAAAGCAUGUAAGGAAAUAGUGAAGUCCUGUUACCAAAGGCAGCUACUGUGUGGCAUACUUCCUUUUCAUCUGGUCCUUUUUUCCCUCCCCAAAGGAAGAGGUGGCACUCUGCACAGACGCUAACCCACCUGUGUGUUAUUUCCUUCAGCGUAACUGGCGGAAACCCCAAGGGAUUGACAACAGGGUUUGUAGAAGGUUCAAGGGCCAGAUCUUGAUAGGAUGUCCAGCAUUGGUUAUAGGAGCAAAAAAA